AAGGGUGCGCAGGUGGUAUAGCAAGUUAGAGGUGAAAAGCAUAGGCUCAACCAAUGUAAGCCUUUAAAACUGCGAUACUUGAGUGCGGGAGAGGAAAGUGGAAUUCCUAGUGUAGCGGUGAAAUGCGUAGAUAUUAGGAGGAAUACCGGUGGCGAAGGCGACUUUCUGGACUAAAACUGACGCUGAUGCACGAAAGCAUGGGUAGCAAACAGGAUUAGAUACCCUGGUAGUCCAUGCCGUAAAC
rnacentral:rRNA from 1 species